GAUAUAUGUUAUAUAAAUUCUUUUUAAAAAAUAUAUGUUCCACUUAUAGCGGUGUUUGUUUACAGGUUCUAUUGCCAUAUCAUCACGAUAGACUCUACAUUUUAUUCAUAAUAGACAUGACAAAGAAAUUAGUCUACAUUAUGGAUCCCCUUAGCCCUAAUCUAAAAGAGAAGAUGAUAGGUGAUGAUCGAUGCAGUCCAUAUCGUGAUAUAUUAUCUGAUGUUGCGAAUCACUUCAACCUCGCCAUGAAAUUGGCGAAUCCUGCAUGGAAGGAUAAUAUUUUUGACUGGCAUCGUGAAUUCCCUACAUGGAUUCAAGAACACACAACUAGAAAAAAUCAGGCUUUCUUGUGUAUAAUUACCUAAAGAAGUGGACCGGGGGGAGACUGAUGUUCAACACUGUAGAAGAUACAGAUGGAAUUUUUAGUGGAUAUUACUGAAGCAAUUCAGAGCUUAUCUCUACUACUAAUAGUUUGUAGUAUGCAAUACAUGAUAUUGUAACGCCUUUAUGCAUGGAUGGAUGUACCUCAUACUAUAUUUAUAUUUAU